rnacentral:rRNA from 1 species
UACGAACGCUGGCGGCGUGCUUAACACAUGCAAGUCGAACGGAAAGGCCCUGCUUUUGUGGGGUGCUCGAGUGGCGAACGGGUGAGUAACACGUGAGUAACCUGCCCUGGACUUUGGGAUAACUUCAGGAAACUGGGGCUAAUACCGGAUAGGAGCUCCUGCUGCAUGGUGGGGGUUGGAAAGUUUCGGCGGUUGGGGAUGGACUCGCGGCUUAUCAGCUUGUUGGUGGGGUAGUGGCUUACCAAGGCUUUGACGGGUAGCCGGCCUGAGAGGGUGACCGGCCACAUUGGGACUGGGAUACGGCCCAGACUCCUACGGGAGGCAGCAGUGGGGAAUAUUGCACAAUGGGCGGAAGCCUGAUGCAGCAACGCCGCGUGCGGGAUGACGGCCUUCGGGUUGUAAACCGCUUUCGCCUGUGACGAAGCGUGAGUGACGGUAAUGGGUAAAGAAGCACCGGCUAACUACGUG